AUCGUGGCCCGGGGUUCACGCCAUGACGUCAUGAGAAGGGGAACGCGGUGAUCGGCUCCUACCCCCAACCCCUCCCCCGACCGCGAGGGAAGGGUGCACGUGGCCUCAGCUCCCCUCCCUCACGCAUGGGGGAGGGGUUGGGGGUAGGAGCUCCCGACUCGGGCAGCGCCCCGAGCUCGGUCAGCCGAAGAAGCCGCCGCCGACCGCGCGCCAGGCGUCGCAGGCGUGGGGGAAGGCCCGGCAGGUCCAGUAGAUCACCAGGUGCGACUCGGCCGCCAGCAGGAAUUUGAGCGAUUUCCCCAGGAAGCAGGCCAGGAUGAAUUUCC
rnacentral:misc_RNA from 1 species